rnacentral:rRNA from 1 species
CUACGGGUGGCACCAGUGAGGAAUAUUGCGCAAUGGACGAAAGUCUGACGCAGCCAUGCCGCGUGCAGGAUGACGGCGCUAUGCGUUGUAAACUGCUUUUAUAUGCCAAGAAACCUUCGGACGUGUCCGAAGCUGACGGUAGCAUAUGAAUAAGCACCGGCUAACUCCGUGCCAGCAGCCGCGGUAAUACGGGGGGUGCAAGCGUUAUCCGGAUUUAUUGGGUUUAAAGGGUCCGUAGGCGGAUCAUUAAGUCAGUGGUGAAAGCCGGCAGCUCAACUGUCGAACUGCCAUUGAUACUGGUGAUCUUGAGUACGGUUGAAGUUGGCGGAAUAGGUCAUGUAGCGGUGAAAUGCUUAGAUAUGACCUAGAACACCGAUUGCGAAGGCAGCCAACUAAGCCGUUAUUGACGCUGAGGGACGAAAGCGUGGGGAGCGAACAGGAUUAGAUACCCCCGUAGUC